rnacentral:rRNA from 1 species
AUACGUAGGGGGCAAGCGUUAUCCGGAUUUACUGGGUGUAAAGGGAGCGUAGACGGAAUGGCAAGUCUGAUGUGAAAGGCCGGGGCUCAACCCCGGGACUGCAUUGGAAACUGUCAGGCUAGAGUGCAGGAGGGGUAAGCGGAAUUCCUAGUGUAGCGGUGAAAUGCGUAGAUAUUAGGAGGAACACCGGUGGCGAAGGCGGCUUACUGGACUGUAACUGACGUUGAGGCUCGAAAGCGUGGGGAGCAAACAGGAUUAGAUCCCCUGGUAGUCCACGCCGUAAACGAUGAAUACUAGGUGUUGGGUUCCAAUAGGGAUUCGGUGCCGCAGCUAACGCAAUAAGUAUUCCACCUGGGGAGUACGUUCGCAAGAAUGAAACUCAAAGGAAUUGACGGGG